GAAUGACUGUCUGCAUCAGUGAAAAAUACUGAAUAGAACGUUCCAAAAUGCAAACAGUGAUGUUCUCUGGAUGGUAGUGGUACAACAGGACCAUUUCUUUAUUCUUCUUUAUACUUUGCUACCUUUCCCAAUGUUAAAAAACAAUUACCAUUGAUUGCGUUUAUAAUCAAAACAGAAAAGCAAUUUUAACCUUAUGGAACAAAAACAGUGGCCAGCUGUCAAGGAGUUCAGCCCUAGGACUGUGUUCCAGCUGAAAGCUUGAAGAACUCCUUUCAACAUUUCUUGUAAGGCAGAUCUAGUGGUGAUAAAGUCUCUCAGCUUUUGUUUGACUGGGAAAGUCUUUAUAUCUCCUUUAUUUUUGAAGCACAGCUUUAACAGAACUCAGAUUCAUCGAGCAGCCACCAUCUCAAAUACGACUGGUCACUGUGGCGAAGGGAAAGAAGAUUUUUGAGAGUCUCACUUUGUUAGCAACUUAUGGGUCUGGAAUAGCGGCAGACCUACCCAGCCACAAGGGGCCUGGAAGUGCAGUUCCACAAUGUCACUAGAAAGCAGAGAGCCAGAAAUAUUGGGGAAAUAUCUCUAAUCACCACCACACCCACAUUUCAAUGUCACCAGAAUGAAACCUGGUAUUAUAGUGAUCAAAUAUAAUACGUACUGAAGCAAGGAGAAGUCACUUGUGCUGCUCGCGUUGCGGUGGGCUGCAAACGUUCACCUCCGCACCAGUGAGGUCAGCUCUGCUGAAUAAUACUGGUGUGUUGGCACCAGUACCCUCAGGAUUCAAGUUUGGUGAUUUAAAAAAUAAGAUAGUUUCAG
rnacentral:lncRNA from 1 species